rnacentral:rRNA from 1 species
GACGAACGCUGGCGGCGUGCUUAACACAUGCAAGUCGAACGAAGUGGCGACCGGGUGAGUAACGCGUAAUCAACCUGCCCUUCCGCGGGGGACAACAGUUAGUAACGACUGCUAAUACCGCAUCCUGCGGGCGGGCAUUGUGUCUGUUUAGGUGGUUGGUGGGGUAACGGCCCACCAAGGCGAUGAUCAGUAGCCGGGCUGAGAGGAUGAACGGGCACAUUGGGACUGAGACACGGCCCAGACUCCUACGGGAGGCAGCAGUGGGGAAUCUGCCGAAAUGGACGAAAGUCUGACGGAGCAACGCCGCGGGAGUGAUGACGGCCUUCGGGUUGUAAAGCUCUGUUAAUCGGGACGCGGUACCGGAAUAGAAAGCCACGGCUAACUACGUGCCAGCAGCCGCGGUAAUUC